rnacentral:sRNA from 1 species
GCAGAGUCAGUGCCGGUCGGUCUUGUGGGCUGAGGGUUAGCGGCUAGGCUAGCGGCGUCUGCAGGGGUCGCCGAGCUAACCGGUGGCUAGGCGAGUGGGGCGGGGCGGCCGGCACCAUGUCGAGGCAGGCGAACCGUGGCACCGAGAGCAAGAAAAUGGUCCAGAUGGCUGUGGAGGCCAAGUUUGUCCAGGACACCCUGAAAGGAGACGGUGUGACAG